rnacentral:ribozyme from 1 species
AAGUAGUAGUCCCAGAAUGCUCUUUUUUUUUUACCGUUUCAAUUGUUUUGUUUUGUUUUGUUUUUUGCUUUCUUCUUUCU